GUUCUAUUUUGUUGGUUUUUGGAACUGGGGCCAUGAUUAAGAAGGACGGCCAGGGGCAUUUGUAUUGUGCCACUAGAGGUGAAAUUCUUGGACUGGCGCAAGAGGAACCAGAGCGAAAGCAUUUGCCAAGAAUGUUUUCAUUAAUCAAGAACAAAAGUCGGAGGUUCAAAGAUUAACAGAUACUGUCAUAGUUCCAACCAUAAACGAUGCUGACUAGCGAUCCGGCGGC